rnacentral:rRNA from 1 species
AAUCGAACUCGGAGAUAGCUGGUUCUCCUCGAAAUAGCUUUAGGGCUAGCCUUGAGGUAAAGUCUAAUGGAGGUAAAGCACUGAUUGGACGCGGGUCCCCAAAAGGAUACCAACUUCUAUCAAACUCAGAAUGCCAUAUAGAUAUACUCAGGAGUCAGACUAUGUGAGAUAAGUUUCAUAGUCAAAAGGGAAAGAGCCCAGACCGACAGCUAAGGUCCCAAAGUGUGUGUUAAGUGGAAAAGGAUGUUAGGUUUCUAAGACAACUAGGAUGUUGGCUCAGAAGCAGCCACUCAUUUAAAGAGUGCGUAACAGCUCACUAGUCGAGAGGUCUAGCGCCGAAAAUGUCCGGGGCUAAAACACACCACCGAAGCUACGGAAUUACCUAUGGUAAUUGGUAGAGGAGCAUUCUGUAAGGAUGAAGCACAAUUGAAAGAGAGUGUGGACGAAACAGAAGAGAGAAUGCCGGAAUGAGUAGCGAGAUAUAUGUGAGAAUCAUAUAGGUCGAAUGUCUAAGGUUUCCUGGGUAAAGCUGAUCUGCUCAGGGUAAGUCGGGACCUAAGGUGAGGGCGAGAGCCGUAAUCGAUGGACAACAGGUAGAAAUUCCUGUACUACGUAUAAUCAGAACUGUGGGGACGCAGGAGGAUAGGAAAACCGGAGAAUGGAAAAAUCCGGCUAAGUACAAAGGUGUGAGUGAUAGGCAAAUCCGUCACUAUUAGCUGAAGUACGAAUGGGAGCGAAGAAAAGUAGCGAAGUUUCUGAAUCCACACUGUCAAGAAAAGCCGCUAUUGCGUUAUACGUACCCGUACCGCAAACCGACACAGGUAGACGAGGAGAAAAUCCACAGACCGACGGGAGAAGUGUUGUUAAGGAACUCGGCAAAAUGCCCCCGUAACUUAGGGAUAAGGGGAGCCAACGCAAGUUGGUCACAGAAAAGAGGCUCAAGCGACUGUUUAGCAAAAACAUAGGUCUAUGCGAAACCGUAAGGUGAUGUAUAUGGGCUGACGCCUGCCCGGUGCUGGAAGGUUAAGAGGAGAGGUUAGCGCAAGCGAAGCUUUGAAUUCAAGCCCCAGUAAACGGCGGCCGUAACUAUAACGGUCCUAAGGUAGCGAAAUUCCUUGUCAGGUAAGUUCUGACCCGCACGAAAGGUGUAACGAUUUGAGCACUGUCUCGACAACACGCCCGGUGAAAUUGAAGAACCAGUGAAGAUACUGGUUACCCGCAACAGGACGGAAAGACCCCAUGGAGCUUUACUGCAGCUUAAUAUUGGGAUUCGGUAUUGUAUGUACAGGAUAGGAGGGAGACUAAGAAGCUAGCACGCCAGUGUUGGUGGAGUCGAUGGUGGGAUACCUCUCUUAUAAUACUGAAUUUCUAACCUACUUCCGUGAUCCGGAAGAGGGACAUUGUUAGGCGGGCAGUUUGACUGGGGCGGUCGCCUCCGAAAGAGUAACGGAGGCGCUCAAAGGUCUUCUCAGAAUGAUUGGAAACCAUUCAAAGAGUGUAAAGGCAAAAGAAGGCUUGACUGCGAGAGUGACAACUCGAGCAGGUACGAAAGUAGGACUUAGUGAUCCGGUGGUAACAAGUGGGAGUGCCAUCGCUUAACGGAUAAAAGCUACCCUGGGGAUAACAGGCUUAUCUCCCCCAAGAGUUCACAUCGACGGGGAGGUUUGGCACCUCGAUGUCGGCUCAUCGCAUCCUGGGGCUGUAGUAGGUCCCAAGGGUUGGGCUGUUCGCCCAUUAAAGCGGUACGCGAGCUGGGUUCAGAACGUCGUGAGACAGUUCGGUCCCUAUCCGUUGUGGGCGUAGGAAAUUUGAUAGGAGCUGUCCUUAGUACGAGAGGACCGGGAUGGACGAACCUCUGGUGAAUCUGUUGGUAACCAAUGCCACAGCAGAAUAGCCAAGUUUGGAACGGAUAAACGCUGAAGGCAUCUAAGCGUGAAGCCAACCUAAAGACUAGAUUUCCCAUGCGAAAGCAGUAAGACUCCUUGU